UGGGGAAUCUUGCGCUAAUGCGGGAAACCGUGACGCAGCGACGCCGCGUGAGGGAAGAAGGCCUUCGGGUUGUAAACCUCUUUCAGGAGGGACGAAGCCACUCGGGUUAAUAGCCCAGAGGGUGACGGUACCUCCAGAAGAAGCCCCGGCUAACUACGUGCCAGCAGCCGCGGUAAUACGUAGGGGGCAAGCGUUGUCCGGAUUUAUUGGGCGUAAAGAGCGUGUAGGCGGCUAGGUAGGUCCGUUGUGAAAACUCGAGGCUCAACCUCGAGACGUCGAUGGAAACCAUCUAGCUAGAGUCCGGAAGAGGAGAGUGGAAUUCCUGGUGUAGCGGUGAAAUGCGCAGAUAUCAGGAAGAACACCCGUGGCGAAGGCGGCUCUCUGGUACGUGACUGACGCUGAGACGCGAAAGCGUGGGGAGCAAACA
rnacentral:rRNA from 1 species